rnacentral:misc_RNA from 1 species
UACGGAGGGUGCGAGCGUUAAUCGGAAUAAAUGGGCGUAAAAAGCGCGUAGGUGGGUGAGUCAGUCAUAUGUGAAAGCCCCGGGCUUAAACUGGGAACUGCACCUGAUACUGCUUGACUAGAGUACGGUAGAGGGCAGUGGAAUUUCCUGUGUAGCGGUGAAAUGCGUAGAUAUAGGAAGGAACACCAGUGGCGAAGGCGACUGCCUGGACUGAUACUGACACUGAGGUGCGAAAGCGUGGGGAGCAAACAGG